rnacentral:rRNA from 1 species
AUGCUGGAGGUAUCAGAAGUGCGAAUGCUGACGUGAGUAACGACAAAACGGGUGAAAAACCCGUUCGCCGAAAGACCAAGGGUUCCAGUCCAACGUUAAUCGGGGCUGGGUGAGUCGACCCCUAAGGCGAGGCCGAAAGGCGUAGUCGAUGGGAAAAUGGUUAAUAUUCCAUUACUUCUGUGUAAUGCGAUGAGAGGACGGAGAAGGCUAAAUCAGCCUGGCGUUGGUUGUCCAGGUGAAAGGAUGUAGGCAUGUAUCUUAGGCAAAUCCGGGGUACUCUAUGCUGAGAUCUGAUAGCAAGCUGUACUUGUACAGCGAAGUGGUUGAUGCCAUGCUUCCAGGAAAAGUCUCUAAGCUUCAGUUACACAGGAAUCGUACCCGAAACCGACACAGGUGGUCAGGUCGAGUAGACCAAGGCGCUUGAGAGAACUCUGCUGAAGGAACUAGGCAAAAUGGUACCGUAACUUCGGGAGAAGGUACGCUGUUGUUGGUGAUGGAACUCGCUUCCUGAGCUGACGACAGCCGCAGAAACCAGGCCGCUGCAACUGUUUAUUAAAAACAUAGCACUCUGCAAACACGAAAGUGGACGUAUAGGGUGUGAUGCCUGCCCGGUGCUGGAAGGUUAAUUGAUGGGGUUAGCGUAAGCGAAGCUCUUGAUCGAAGCCCCAGUAAACGGCGGCCGUAACUAUAACGGUCCUAAGGUAGCGAAAUUCCUUGUCGGGUAAGUUCCGACCUGCACGAAUGGCAUAAUGAUGGCGGCGCUGUCUCCAGCAGAGGCUCAGUGAAAUCGAAAUCGCUGUGAAGAUGCAGUGUACCCGCGGCUAGACGGAAAGACCCCGUGAACCUUUACUGCAGCUUGACACUGAACUUUGACCUUACUUGUGUAGGAUAGGUGGGAGGCUUUGAAGCUGGAACGCUAGUUCCAGUGGAGCCGUCCUUGAAAUACCACCCUGGUAAUGUUGAGGUUCUAACUCUGUCCCGUGAUCCGGGACGAGGACCGUGUCUGGUGGGUAGUUUGACUGGGGCGGUCUCCUCCUAAAGAGUAACGGAGGAGUACGAAGGUGCGCUCAGCGUGGUCGGAAAUCACGCGUAGAG